UACGGAGGGUGCAAACGUUGCUCGGAAUCAUUGGGCGUAAAGCGCACGUAGGCGGCCUGUUAAGUCGGGUGUGAAAGCCCUCGGCUCAACCGAGGAAGUGCAUUCGAAACUGGCAGGCUUGAGUAUGGAAGAGGGUCGCGGAAUUCCCGGUGUAGAGGUGAAAUUCGUAGAUAUCAGGAGGAACACCUGUGGUGUAGACGGCUCUCUGGACCGCAACUGACGCUGAGACACGAAAGCGUGGGUAGCAAACAGG
rnacentral:rRNA from 1 species